AUCCAACUGACGAGUCUCAAACAGGGCGAAACGCCCGUCAAACUGGAU
rfam:Schistosoma curassoni strain Dakar, Senegal genome assembly, scaffold: SCTD_scaffold0002497